GGCGGGCGGGUGAGCGCGGCGGCCAUGGUUGCGGCGGUGGUGGCGCGCGGCGGCGGCGGCGGCUAGGGCUCAGGCGGCUUGGUGCGGGAGAGAGGCGGCGGCGAAGGGGAGAGAUCGCUUCGAGAGAGUGAUUUUAUAGCGAGGGGAUUAGGGUUUAGCUCUAGUGGGCCAUGGGGGAUAGUUAGUGGACCACUAUGGGCCGGGCUAGAAUUAGUUGGGCCUUCGCGAGCCCAACUUGUGGGCUAGUUUUUCGCUUGUAAAAGGCCAUGGGGGGAGGAGGCGGCGAGCUAGGGUUUCGACCCUCACGAACACUACUUGAUCUUAUCCGAGCUUGCCGUCCGGCGGCGCCGCGGCGGCCGGAGUCGCCUCUCCGACAUUCGCGCCGCCACCGACGUCCUCGUACGGUUGGCGGGAAGGUGGCGCGCUUUGUUGGGGGAAAGAGGCGGGUUCGGUUCCCGUGGCAGUCGCCGGCGGUGAGCGAUGACGACUGCCCGCGGUCGGAGCGCGUGCGAUGAUGGCCGCGCGGGUUCACCCAAACAAC
rnacentral:pre_miRNA from 1 species